UAUAAUGCAGUUGACUAGAAUACAUAAAGGUGACAAGAUCGUUUUCCACUGCCAAGUGAGAAUAAUGGCUUAAAAAGGAAGUUCUAUUAAAGAAAGAGAGCUUUGCUUUUUUCCCACCUACUUUGUAAUCAUUUGUGUAACUUCUGAUGUCAUGUACCCACAGAAAUCAUAAAAAAGAGAACUGAGCCAUC